rnacentral:misc_RNA from 1 species
AAGUCGUAACAAGGUUUCCGUAGGUGAACCUGCGGAAGGAUCAUUGAGAGAGUUGGGUGGGGGUUGUUGGAAUGAGAUGGGAGAUAUGAGUGACAAGAAAUCAUUUUUCAAUAUGACUAGCCACCUGGGAUCUCUGGGCUCUU